rnacentral:misc_RNA from 1 species
AAGUCGUAACAAGGUUUCCGUAGGUGAACCUGCGGAAGGAUCAUUACCCAUUUCUUCGGGGGGGCUUCGGCUCCCUGUCUGAAAACCCUUGUCUUUUGCGUACCAUUUGUUUCCUUGGUGGGCUUUGCCUGCCAGUAGGACACUAUAACAACCCUUUGUAAUUGCAAUCAGCGUCAGAAAAAAACAUAAUAAUUACAACUUUCAACAACGGAUCUCUUGGUUCUG